rnacentral:rRNA from 1 species
CAGCCACACUGGAACUGAGACACGGUCCAGACUCCUACGGGAGGCAGCAGUGGGGAAUUUUGGACAAUGGGCGCAAGCCUGAUCCAGCAAUGCCGCGUGAGUGAAGAAGGCCUUCGGGUUGUAAAGCUCUUUUGUCAGGGAAGAAACGGCUCCGGCUAAUAUCCGGGGCUAAUGACGGUACCUGAAGAAUAAGCACCGGCUAACUACGUGCCAGCAGCCGCGGUAAUACGUAGGGUGCAAGCGUUAAUCGGAAUUACUGGGCGUAAAGCGUGCGCAGGCGGUUUUGUAAGUCUGUCGUGAAAGCCCCGGGCUCAACCUGGGAAUUGCGAUGGAGACUGCAAGGCUUGAAUCUGGCAGAGGGGGGUAGAAUUCCACGUGUAGCAGUGAAAUGCGUAGAGAUGUGGAGGAACACCGAUGGCGAAGGCAGCCCCCUGGGUCAAGAUUGACGCUCAUGCACGAAAGCGUGGGGAGCAAACAGGAUUAGAUACCCUGGUAGUCCACGCCCUAAACGAUGUCUACUAGUUGUCGGGUUUUAAUUAACUUGGUAACGCAGCUAACGCGUGAAGUAGACCGCCUGGGGAGUACGGUCGCAAGAUUAAAACUCAAAGGAAUUGACGGGGACCCGCACAAGCGGUGGAUGAUGUGGAUUAAUUCGAUGCAACGCGAAAAACCUUACCUACCCUUGACAUGGAAGGAAUCCU